UACGUAGGUGGCGAGCGUUGUUCGGAUUUACUGGGCGUAAAGAGCGCGCAGGCGGUCGUAUAAGUCGCGUGUGAAAGCCCCCGGCUCAACUGGGGAGGGUCACUCGAUACUGUUCGACUCGAAGGCAGGAGAGGGAAGUGGAAUUCCCGGUGUAGUGGUGAAAUGCGUAGAUAUCGGGAGGAACACCAGUGGCGAAGGCGACUUCCUGGCCUGUUCUUGACGCUGAGGCGCGAAAGCUAGGGUAGCAAACGGG
rnacentral:rRNA from 1 species